UCAUAAAUGUAAGGGUAUCAAAAUGAAUAAGGUCUGACGGGUUGACCCGUUAAUCCAACAAGAAAAAAAUGGGUUGGUUUACAUGUUUGAAUCCAUCAGCCCGAAAAAGUCUGACCCUCCUGGUAUGUCAGCCUGUGUCUGGUUGUCGAGCCACAAGACGAGUCAACCCGCUGUAACCCGCAACAUGUACUAAGUUUAAUAAUUUUCCCAUUUUCUUUAUUCAUUCUUCAUCGCCAACAAAAACCACCACACGUCAGUGACAUAGAGAAGAACGCCUUUUUCCUCCCAGAUCGAGUGUGACUCCGAUGACUCUUCACAACGACGACUUCCCCAUAACGAUGACACACAUAGAUUGCGUAUCAUUAUUAUGCGUAAGAGAAAGCCUUUUCCUCUGCGUCAAUUAUUUCUUCUUCUCCUUCUAUGUGGCUUUAUCGGUGGUGACACGCCAUCACUAGAGGUUUUGUGUGUGGCCAAGAACAACGCGGAGGACACUGUUGUAGUUGGUGAUUAAGUGGGCCUGCGACAUCGACGAUGCCAAUUGUGGAGUGAUCCAGGUAGGAGGACCUUGCUUAAACCCUGUUUCGACUCUACUUUGACCCUAAAUGUGUAAAAAAAAGGCGAGCCAACACACCCAUUGCAAGGCAGGUUCAAGCUCCCAACCUGUUUUCAAAUGUCGGACUCGUCUGACCCGGCCCAACCCGAUUUUGGUGGGCCAAAAACAAGGCGGAAUAACAUUUUUUACACCCCCUUGAUAAUGGUAUUGAUACAUUGUAUUUUAAAAAUAAGUGAUUCUUUAAUGCAUUAAAAAAAAUAAGAAUGUUAAUUAGUACAACCAAAUUGUUAUAACAAUAUGAAGAGGGAAUCCCCCAUUGAGUUGCUUCACCAAAUUAGGAGUGCUUGGGGAUGUUACUCGUGCAAGAAAGGAUCUAAAACAGUGGGUAAUUAAUGAGAAGGUAUCUUAUCUCCAAUAAAUUAUGGAGAGAGUUAAAGUGGUCAAAUUGCCUUUCAAAUCAUAAUCAAUUCCUAUAGAAUAGCCAUAACAUAUUGAGAUUAAGGAAAUGAAAGUUUUAAAAGAAUAAAAGGACAAGAUGAAAUUAAAAAAAAAUGCUAAGCUAAUUAACGAUCUCCAGAGUCUCCGACACAAAUAUGUAGACCUUAGGUAAGAUAAUGAGGAAAAAACACAAAUGUGUGAAGAGAUGUUAAAAAAACAAAGAGACGAUAAGGAUUAUGUUUUCAUAAUCAAACAAGACCUUAGUACAGCCAAUACAUAAUUAACAUUGAGAAUAUGGGAAACGAAUGUGUAACAUCACAUGGGUGCCAAAAAAGUCAUAUGUAUGGAGAACUUCAAAGUGAUACGAAUGAAAAACUAAAGAGGUUGCACGACUCAAAAAUCAAUAUCAGUAAGUUGAACAACUAAUGAAGGAAAUAGUGGCAACUUAUGAGGAGAAGAUGGAUAAAGAGUGUUAACAGCAAGAAAAAUUAGAGAAGAGACAUCUGGAGGUACUGGCUCAAAUGGAUUAGUGCAUGACUGAAUAGGAUAGGAUCAUAGAGCACUAGAAGAAAUGCUUCUCCCAAUUGGUUACCUUAGUCGAUGGAGUUAAUGAAGAUGUCUCAAAGUUAUUAGGUGAUAUUGAGUCUGCGAUGUCGAUGUUUAACUUGCCUUAGGAAAUUGAAGUUUUCCUCAAUUAUUGAAAGAAGAUGAUAGGUGAAAUGAAGGAUGUGAUGGCUAGGUGUAGAGUUUGCUAGUUAGGCUUUCCUUUGCUACACAUGUUAUGAAAUUGUAAAUAUUAUAGUAGUUUGGUUAUAUUGAGUAUGUAGUUAGUACGGCAAUCUCUAUUGUGGAAGUACAAUAACAUAGUUAGUACAACCAAACUGUCAUAAUAUUUACAACAUGAUUCAGCUCGACUUGGGCCUAACUCAACCUGGUCUUUACUGAGUUGGGUCUGAAGUGGUAUUGAACGAGCUAGGCUCGACUUAGACUUGAUCGAAAUAGUAACAACAUGGGUUUAGCCCUACUUGGUUGAACAUGGGUUGGCCCCAACUAGAAUGAACAUAGUCUCAUCCCAACUCAAGCGAAUGGGGUCCAAUUGCCUCAACCUAUGCCUAGACUGAUUUUGGUUUGACUAGGGAUUAAAUCGAGUUAUUUCAACCUAGGCUUGGACCUAUUCCUUUUGACCUGAUAUUGGCCUUGAUCGACUCAUCUCUAUUUGGACCUGGGCCAACUCGGCUUGAUUCAAGCAAUGGUCGACUCACCUAAGCUUACAGUUGGGAAAACUCACCCUGACCUUCGUCUAGGUUGACUAGCCUUGACCUAUGUUUGGGUUGACUUAGUUCAACUUGGACUCGAGCAUACUUGGUUUAACUUAGUCCUUGGCCAACUUGAAUUGACCAAGACUCGGCCCAACUUAACUUGACUAAGGAUUAAGUUGACUCAGCUUGACUUUGGCCAUAGCCAACUCAAUUUGACCUUAGCUCGACCUAGACUUAUAUUGAUUUGUUUGGACUUGGAUUUGACUUAUAAUUGGUUAAACUCAACUCGACCUAGAUCUGGGUCAAUUUAACUCGACUUAGAUUUGAACCAACUUAAUUUGACAUGAACGUAAGUCAAUUUAGUCAACUUGACUCAACUUUGCAAGAGUCUAACCCUAACUCUAUCUUACUAAGUCUAGCCCACUUACCACUUUAUAACAUGAAAUGAUAUACAUUCACCUUGCUUUUAAAUUUUCAUAUUUAAUUAUUUCAUAUAUUAUCAAAGACAAAUUUAGUUAAAUGUAUUGGAUUUAAGAUUCAAAAAUACGUAUUAGAAUUUAAGAUAAAUCUAUUUAAAUAUACUUAAAAUAAUAUGAAUUUAAAUAACCCUCGUAUGUUUUUCUCUUUGACAUGGAGAUAUAAAAGACAACUCACUCUUAAGAAAAAGAGAUAUUUUAAUACAAUGAGAACUACCUUUAGA